UACGUAGGGUGCGAGCGUUGUCCGGAAUUAUUGGGCGUAAAGGGUGCGUAGGUGGCCUGACAAGUUAUCAGUGGUAAAUCGAGGCUCAACCUCGUGGAAACUGGUAAUACUGUCCGGCUCGAGUACAGGAGAGGUUAACGGAACUCUAUGUGGAGCGGUAAAAUGCACAGAUAUAUAGAAGAACAUCAAUAACGGCGAAGGCAGUUAACUAUUCUGUUACUGACACUGAGGCACGAAAGCGUGGGGAGCAAAACGG
rnacentral:rRNA from 1 species